CGUCGACGUCUCUGUUCGUCUGAAACGACGACUACAUGCAAGCUUUUGUGUCGAUGAGAUUGGUACGGAGGACGUUGCCGAUAAACCUGCACUGCUCGCUCUUGAACCUGCACUGCUUGCCUUGACACGCCUCGUCUGCUAUAAACCUGCACUGCAUUAGAACACUUUUUUCACUCCGCUCGCUCCUUUCGCUCUUGCUCGGUGUUCUCACCUGGCCGUCGCCCCUCGCUCGCUCACCAACUACUCACCCGGCCAUCUCCCCCUCGCUCACUCACCAGUCGCUUGCUAGUCUCUCGCUCCUCUCCACUCCAACAGGCCACACCACGCAGUCAUGUUUGGAGGUCGCGCUAGAGGUGACGCUGUAGCGAAACUUUAUUUCAACUGCGGUUAUUGUGGAGUAGCCCUAUCUGAUGGGGCUUUUACAUGCGACAAAAUGGUUUCUACGGAUGAAAGAUGUCAACGUCUAUUUUGUGAGUCAUGCGCACAAAUUCACGAGAAUUCCUUCAAUCAUGAUAUUUUUCGAGCACAAAAUCUCGAUUAUAUCAUUUCAACUGGUACGUUUGUUUGCACUUUUGAGGGAUGUGCCCAAGAUAUACCUGCACCACUGUAUAGUCAACAUCAGAGGACGUGCCCGUACAAAAGACUUACGUGUCCAAUAUGUAAUAAUGGAUUUGCUUUGAUAUCACUGAGGUCACAUCUUCUGAGAGAACAUCAGUUCAACUAUUACCAGCUUAAUUAUGGUUCUCUCAACACUGGUCAUAAUAUCUCUAAUGAUAGAGGGUGUGUUUUUGGCGGUAGAGAGGAAGACUUUGUAUUCUUCAUUAGAGACGCAACCCUUUAUUUUGUAUGGCUUGGUGCAUCAGCUGCUGCUUCAUCUCAAGCGUCUGCUUCUUCAUCAGCGUCUGCAAAUAUCCAACUGAUGGUGAAUUUGGUCGCAGCUCAGACUCAGCAGGAUAGUGGGUCCUACACAGAUCCACCGCUACCGAGGUGUACUGAUGUUUUUCGUCUCUUUAGCUUCAGGCAUCUCACCGCAGAAAAUAAUUUUAAGAUUUCUGUAUUGAUAGAUUAGUUGUUUAUGUGUAUGUCUUUAUUUAUCUA